AUGCACGCUGGCGGCGUGCCUAAUACCUGCCAGUCGAGCGAACAGACGAGGAGCUUGCUCCUCUGACGUUAGCGGCGGCCGGGUGAGUAACACGUGGAUAACCUACCUAUAAGGCUGGGAUAACUUCGGGAAACCGGAGCUAAUACCGGAUAAUAUAUUGAACCGCAUGGUUCAAUAGUGAAAGACGGUUUUGCUGUCACUUAUAGAUGGAUCCGCGCCGCAUUAGCUAGUUGGUAAGGUAACGGCUUACCAAGGCAACGAUGCGUAGCCGACCUGAGAGGGUGAUCGGCCACACUGGAACUGAGACACGGUCCAGACUCCUACGGGAGGCAGCAGUAGGGAAUCUUCCGCAAUGGGCGAAAGCCUGACGGAGCAACGCCGCGUGAGUGAUGAAGGUCUUCGGAUCGUAAAACUCUGUUAUUAGGGAAGAACAAAUGUGUAAGUAACUAUGCACGUCUUGACGGUACCUAAUCAGAAAGCCACGGCUAACUACGUG
rnacentral:rRNA from 1 species